UACGGGAAGGGGCAUAGCGUUGAUUCGGAAUUAGCUAGGGCGAAGGCGCGUAGGCGGUCCUGAUCGUCGGAUGUGAAAGGCCUGGGCUCAACCUGGGAAUGGCAAUCCGAUAUCGGCGGGACUGGAGUGUGGGAGAGGUUGGUGGAAUUCCCAGUGUAGAGGUGAAAUUCGUAGAUAUGGGUAAGAACACCGGUGGCGAAGGCGGCCAACUGGACCACACUGACGCUGAGGCGCGAAAGCGUGGGGAGCAAACAGGAUUGAGAU
rnacentral:rRNA from 1 species